UCUGUGAACUCCUACGGGAGGCAGCAGUAGGGAAUCUUCCACAAUGGACGCAAGUCUGAUGGAGCAACGCCGCGUGAGUGAAGAAGGUUUUCGGAUCGUAAAGCUCUGUUGUUGGUGAAGAAGGAUAGAGGCAGUAACUGGUCUUUGUUUGACGGUAAUCAACCAGAAAGUCACGGCUAACUACGUGCCAGCAGCCGCGGUAAUACGUAGGUGGCAAGCGUUGUCCGGAUUUAUUGGGCGUAAAGCGAGCGCAGGCGGAAUGAUAAGUCUGAUGUGAAAGCCCACGGCUCAACCGUGGAACUGCAUCGGAAACUGUCAUUCUUGAGUGCAGAAGAGGAGAGUGGAAUUCCAUGUGUAGCGGUGGAAUGCGUAGAUAUAUGGAAGAACACCAGUGGCGAAGGCGGCUCUCUGGUCUGCAACUGACGCUGAGGCUCGAAAGCAUGGGUAGCGAACAGGAUUAGAAACCCGUGUAGUCCAUCAGCG
rnacentral:rRNA from 1 species